GACAGAGGCCUCGAGCGUUAGGCGGAAUCACUGGGCUUAAAGCGUGUGUAGGCGGGCCCGUAAGUGUCUUGUGAAAUCCCACGGCUCAACCGUGGAACUGCUGGGCAUACUGCGGGUCUUGGGCCAACUAGGGGCAGCCGGAACAAGCGGUGGAGCGGUGAAAUGCGUAGAUAUCAGGAGGAACACCAAUGGCGAAGGCAGCUCGCUGGGACGGUACUGACGCUGAGGCGCGAAAGCGUGGGGAGCAAACAGG
rnacentral:rRNA from 1 species